rnacentral:rRNA from 1 species
UACGGGAGGCAGCAGUGGGGAAUAUUGCACAAUGGGCGCAAGCCUGAUGCAGCCAUGCCGCGUGUAUGAAGAAGGCCUUCGGGUUGUAAAGUACUUUCAGUCGUGAGGAAGGUGUUAAGGUUAAUAACCUUAGCAAUUGACGUUAGCGACAGAAGAAGCACCGGCUAACUCCGUGCCAGCAGCCGCGGUAAUACGGAGGGUGCGAGCGUUAAUCGGAAUUACUGGGCGUAAAGGGCACGCAGGCGGUUAAUUAAGUUGGAUGUGAAAUCCCCGGGCUUAACCUGGGAAUGGCAUUCAAGACUGGUUAGCUAGAGUCUUGUAGAGGGGGUAGAAUUCCGAUGUGUAGCGGUGAAAUGCGUAGAGAUGUGGAGGAAUACCGGUGGCGAAGGCGGCCCCUGGACAAAGACUGACGCUCAUGUGCGAAAGCGUGGGGAGCGAAACAGGGAUUAGA